UGGGCGGGAAGCUGCCGCGCGGGCCCGUCCGCCAUCUCCAGAGCGUCAGUGCCCUAAAGCCACCGCCCUCCUCGGCACUGUGAGGUACCGUCAGUGCCCCAAAGCCACCGCCCUCCUCGGCACUGUGAGGUACCGUCAGUGCCCCAAAGCCACCGCCCUCCUCGGCACUGUGAGGUACCGUCAGUGCCCUAAAGCCACCGCCCUCCUCGGCGCCGUGAGGUACCGUCAGUGCCCCAAAGCCACCGCCCUCCUCGGCACUGUGAGGUACUAUGAGAUGAACCUUCCACUCCUCACUGCUUAUGGGUCAAUCCCAGCCUGACGGUAGAACUUUUUCUCUGACAAGAACUUGUUGCAUUUGGUGCUGUUCAGCAGCAGCUUUCUGAGGUGACACCUAAGUUUCAGAUACACAGAUCUCCUUUCUUCACCUUUUUUUUUUUUUAAAAAACCACAAAACCCCUACUUCAACAAAGUAUUCUGGAUUUGAGACCAUCACUUCCAGCAAAGAUUGAACAACAGACAUUGGGAAACACUAUGAGGCUCAGACCUGCAAAGACAAGAGUUGGACAUCCCACCAGAGGAUCAAAGCUUGAAUUUUGAAAGGACUGAGGAUGAAAAGAAAAAAUACCUUUGUGUAAAUCAUCUUGAAUGCAUGGAUAAUUCCCAUGUACUUGUGUUCCCCUUUUACUUGGAACGCCAGACGAACUCUAACCAUAUCAAGAGGGUAAGUACAAAUCACUGCUGUAAUACCUUUAUUAAAAACAAAAACAAAA